rnacentral:rRNA from 1 species
GACGAACGCUGGCGGCGUGCUUAACACAUGCAAGUCGAACGAAGAGCGAUGGAAGCUUGCUUCUAUCAAUCUUAGUGGCGAACGGGUGAGUAACGCGUAAUCAACCUGCCCUUCAGAGGGGGACAACAGUUGGAAACGACUGCUAAUACCGCAUACGAUCCAAUCUCGGCAUCGGGACUGGAUGAAAGGUGGCCUCUAUUUAUAAGCUAUCACUGAAGGAGGGGAUUGCGUCUGAUUAGCUAGUUGGAGGGAUAACGGCCCACCAAGGCGAUGAUCAGUAGCCGGUCUGAGAGGAUGAACGGCCACAUUGGGACUGAGACACGGCCCAGACUCCUACGGGAGGCAGCAGUGGGGAAUCUUCCGCAAUGGACGAAAGUCUGACGGAGCAACGCCGCGUGAGUGAUGACGGCCUUCGGGUUGUAAAGCUCUGUUAAUCGGGACGAAUGGUUCUUGUGCGAAUAGUGCGAGGAUUUGACGGUACCGGAAUAGAAAGCCACGGCUAACUACGUG